rnacentral:rRNA from 1 species
GACGAACGCUGGCGGCGUGCUUAACACAUGCAAGUCGAACGGAAAGGCCCUGCUUUUGUGGGGUGCUCGAGUGGCGAACGGGUGAGUAACACGUGAGUAACCUGCCCUUGACUUUGGGAUAACUUCAGGAAACUGGGGCUAAUACCGGAUAGGAGCUCCUGCUGCAUGGUGGGGGUUGGAAAGUUUCGGCGGUUGGGGAUGGACUCGCGGCUUAUCAGCUUGUUGGUGUGGUAGUUGCUUACCAAGGCUUUGACGGGUAGCCGGCCUGAGAGGGUGACCGGCCACAUUGGGACUGAGAUACGGCCCAGACUCCUACGGGAGGCAGCAGUGGGGAAUAUUGCACAAUGGGCGGAAGCCUGAUGCAGCAACGCCGCGUGCGGGAUGACGGCCUUCGGGUUGUAAACCGCUUUCGCCUGUGGCGAAGCGUGAGUGACGGUAAUGGGUAAAGAAGCACCGGCUAACUACGUG